CUCCUCAUCAUCCUCCUACUCUUUUUCAGUAGCUGGUGGAUGAGAGUCGGAUGUCUCAGCAUCUUGAAAUGAAGAAAAAUAAAAUAUUAUUAAUAAGUUUCAAUAUGAAGGUGUAUCUUUUGAUACGAAGGCAUACCUUUCGAUACACUCUUUCAAUUCUUGAACAGAUUAUUUUUAUGCAUUUCAUUCGAUGAUACAGAGCUACAAACAUGUCGGCCU
rnacentral:lncRNA from 1 species